AUAUCUAUGAAGUGUUUUCAUAUUUUUCUCUUCUUUCUCUUCCUCUUUGGGAGAAAAUGUCCCAAGGGACAUCUGCUACGGAUACUCCUGCUGACCAAAAGUCACUUACUUCAUCAGACAAUAUGCCAAGCCUAGGUUCACAUUGGGGAAGUAUCUUGAAGGCAUAGAAGGCGACCAGAAAGACUAGAAAAGACUUUUGGCUGCCAAGGGGCAAAAAGAAAUGACCAUUCAGGUUUUUGCCAAAAACAUCCUGAGCUUCUGCAUUGUGCUGAUCAAUUGCCUUCUUACGAUCCAGUUUUGAAUGGAGACCAGAUACAUCUUUUGUAGUUUCUUCAACUGUGGUAAGCAACUACAUACGAUUUUUAAAAAUAAAUGUUGAUUAAGAUGGGUAUCACAAAAGCAGACUACUGAAAAUAUCUGUGCUACAUACAGAUUUCUCCUGACAAGAAUUAGUAAAUUUUGAGGCGUAUGGGUGGCUCAGUCAGUUAAGCAUCCAACUCUUGAUUUCAGCUCAGGUCAUGAUCCCAUGGUUAGUGGGAACGAGACCUGUGUCGGGCUCCACACUGACAGCAAAGAGCCUGCUUGGGAUUCUCUCUUUCUCUCUCUCUCUCUUUCUCUCUGCCCUUCCCCAGCUGGUACUCUCUCUCUCUCAAAAUAAAUAAACUUAAAAAAAAAAAAAGAA